GCAUAUUUUCUACCAGCAAAUGCGACCAUAUACCCACCAUAAUUCUCCGGAAUGAAGGAGGAGGUGUUGAUGGUGAGAAGGGAGAUCUCGUCGACUUUAGGUCUAAAAACGGAGAUCUGAGAACUCCGGCUAGAGAGAGAGAGCCUUGAAUCGCAAGGAGAUAACUGAAGGGUGUUAUUAUUGUUGUAGAAGAAGGCAGUCCUCGAGGCGAACGCGAUGGCAAAAGUGAACCCAUCCGACCG
rnacentral:misc_RNA from 1 species